GGAAAUUGGAAUAAAUUCGCAUAAGGCAAAAGGGGGCAGAAUCCCUGUCUUCACGCAACUUGUUCGGCUUAAGGAAAAUCGAAGAAUUUCGGUAGGAUUCAUUUUUAUAUUAGGAAGUUAAUUUUUUCACGUCUCUUUCAUUAUUUUGCUGAUUAUUUUACCUUUUUUUAAAUAGGUUUUAAUAGUUUAAUUUCUUUUUAAUUAUGUUUAGGGUUUUAGUAUAAAUAAGAAUUUUCAUUGUAUUGAACAAAGUUUUUAUGAUGAAUUGAUUAAUGGAGAUUUUUCUCUCUCGAGGCGUGAUCCUUCAAUUUACCGAACUUAUCAAGAUUUAACAAAUCUUGUGGCGUUCAAACAAAACCUGGGUAAUAUAUCUACAGUUGCCUAGUUCAUUGUUUGAGGAUUAAAUCCAAAACCAUCGAUCCAUUGGCAUUCUUGGGAAUUGUGGCAAUCUCGUUGUGGGUUCGUGAGUGUUCG
rnacentral:lncRNA from 1 species